UCAUCAUGUAAUGUUUGCGUAUGGGAGUGGAAGAAUCGUUUAUGCUCGAAGGAGAUCAUUAAGCUUGGAGGUGUGAGGUUAAAAGAUCAUUAAAGGUUUCCAUUUAUGAUAUACCAUAUACUAAUGUAUGCCAGAGAGGAGUAUAUGAGCAAUAAAACCUUUCGAAAGUAAAAACGAUUCUGAGGAGAUAAGCCAUAUGUUAAGAAAUACGCAAGGAGAGAGAGGAGGAAACGCAGCGGCAGAGGAUGCGAGAAGAAUGGAGUUUGAUGCUGGAGCGUCAUCAUUGCCUAGUGACUCUCCUAGCAACAGGAAACAUCUGUUUCAGCGUCGACCAAUCAGGAGCCGGUGCAGUCUGUUAUUGCCCGCUGCACAGAAAGGGGAUAUUUUAAGAGCCGAGAGUGAGCCGAAUACUACAGGGAUUAUAUCAAAAGCAAGACUUCGACAUCUGGGGGCGAAGCGUUAAGCGCACGCCGAGCUGAAAGCGGCUACAUUCGGCACAGUAUGAGCGGUUUUGAGCCUCUGGUUUGAUGAAUAACGCGUGUGCGGGGACUGUUAAUGUGGCUUUAUAAAUAAGGAACCAUUAGGCAAUGUGUGUGAGCCAGAGAAAAGAGCCUCAGGUGAAUAGAGGAUUUGUCAGAGAGGUGUGUGAGUGUGUCUGCGUGAAGCAGUCCUUAGGGUCUUUCCUCUAAGAGUGCCCUCAACAGUCAACAACGUCGAAAGUCGCCUACUUUAAGCGAAAAUAUGCGGAAGAGGAGGAUGUUCAGGGAAGCCUACAUGGAUAUUUACAAAAACACCUGAUCCUGCGUGAGGAGCGCAGCUGCAUCCUGCGCCUGUCUCUGCAGAAGCUGCGUUUCCUAGACGACCCCGAGGCUUACCUCCGCCGCUCCGUUCUCAUCAACAACCUGCUACGCAAGAUCCACCUGGACGAAGCCCAAAGGGACAGAGAGAAACAGAGGGAUGACAAGGAAGAGGAGGAGGAGACGGAGAGGAGGCGGAAGAGACUGAAGGUGGUGCUCCAGGAGUUCCAGCAGUACAAGCUGCUGCCGUAUUCAUCCUCCCCAGCCUCAUGCAUCUGUGGCCUGGGCAGCUGCCACACCCUGCCCCCUGACCAUGGAGCUUCAGUGCUGCUCUACCAUUUGGAUGAUAAAAGAUAAGAUGUCAUCGGAUACAUGCAGGGGAUUUUUCCAACUGUCUGUGACUGAUUUCCAGGAGCCAGCAUUGAGGAAGGAAGGAAUUCGGGUUUGUGUGCAUUUGUGCUUGUGCUGGUAGCGUGAGCUCUGCGGUUUGUGAUGUGACAGGUGUCUGUCCAUAUCAGGGUGUGUUUUUCCAACUGGAAGAAGACAUCAUCUUGUUAUCACUGCCUCGCUCUGUUGAUAUGAACUUUGACCACAGACAUUUUGUUUUCAUAAAUAUGCUUGAGUGAGCUAUAACCUUAAGCACUGUUUUCAGGGAUAAAAAAGGCAAACGAAAAGCCAUGCACCUUGUGGUUGUUAUAUUAUGUUGUAAGAAAAAAAAAGGGCAAAAAAUUUAAAUUGUCAGUGUCAAAGUCCCGGCUGCUCCUAAGAAUGGAGUGAUUUUACAAAAGCUUUGUUGCUGUGAAAUGGACUUUUUUGUGUAAGUGGCUACUGAUGUCAAACUAGUAAUGAUUUUUUAAAAGAAGUUUCCAUACCUUUAACAAAAUAAAUAAAUAAAAGAAAAUAGGAAAAUGUAUGAGGGCAAAUGAGAAAUGAAAAUAACAUUUUCAAAAGCCUUCUGUUUUUUUUUUUGUUUUUUUUGGUUUAAACAGGGUCUCGCUUUCAGCAAAAAAGGUACAAAAUUGUCACCAUAUCACGGAGUACCCUUUCAAAAUUUAUUAAAAUGUAAUUUUAAGGUACUUUUUAAGUGCUAAUAUGCAUAUUUAAGAUACUAUCGUGUAUCAUUUGGGGAAAACAGUGUACAAAGAUGUACCUUUUAGCUUUUGUGCCUUAGAGCACCACUCAAAUGACAGAUUUGUACCUUUUUUUUGAGAGUGUAGUGACUUGCAACUUUCACGAUGUAAAAACAUUUACUGCAUUUGCUACUUGUGUUUCAUUGCAUACAGCCUUUUAAGGCUUUUUGGCAGAAACUGUUAUGUUAAGGUAACUCUGCCAUCUAGUGUUAUGGCGAUGAAUUCUCAGCUACAUAGACCUCUUUGGUUCAUUCAUUUAAUCAACUGUACUACCUGCAGUUUGUAAUGCUGUUUUACACUCAUUUGUCCCUAUAGGUUGUCUGUCCAGUUUGUCUGGCCAGUAUAUUAAAUUUCUGGCUCUAUAUUCUUUGGAUCUGAAAACCCUAGCUAUUUGGGUGUCAGAAUAUCUCACAACAAUGGCCUUCAUUCACUGCACAGACCUACAGUUUAUAACUAACAGGGAAAACAAGGUGUACAUGCUUAAUGUAGUGUAAAAUCCGCCAUUCUCUCUUACACAGAACCUCAGAUGAUCCUGUUCUUGUCUCAUAUCGCUGUGCAUGUCUCUCAUAUGUUGGUUACAUAGAGUUUUCUAACAGGCAAAGUUGUGCAAAAAUAUUUUGGUACGGUUAAUAAUGACUGGUACUCUUACUGUUAAUAUUUUGCGUGUUUGUUUAUGCACAUUUGUAUGUGUGUUGUACUUUUUUCAAUAUCUGAAUGUAAUUUACUGAAAUCUAUAUUCAGAGUGCUAUCUUUUGGACAUUUCAAAGCAUAGACAUGGAUAUCCAGUUUAUUUUGAAAUGGAGCUAUUUUUUGUUUCAAGAAGAACCACUGUUCCUCAGAGAAUUUAGUGCUAUUUUGCCAAAAGAUUUAAAAGUAGCAUACGAGAAUUGUCUAUUUUCAUGCCACUGCAGUCAAAUAAAAUAUAAUACUGAAUGUUUC